GGAGCUUGCUCCCGGAUGUUAGCGGCGGACGGGUGAGUAACACGUGGGUAACCUGCCUGUAAGACUGGGAUAACUCCGGGAAACCGGAGCUAAUACCGGAUAGUUCCUUGAACCGCAUGGUUCAAGGAUGAAAGACGGUUUCGGCUGUCACUUACAGAUGGACCCGCGGCGCAUUAGCUAGUUGGUGGGGUAAUGGCUCACCAAGGCGACGAUGCGUAGCCGACCUGAGAGGGUGAUCGGCCACACUGGGACUGAGACACGGCCCAGACUCCUACGGGAGGCAGCAGUAGGGAAUCUUCCGCAAUGGACGAAAGUCUGACGGAGCAACGCCGCGUGAGUGAUGAAGGUUUUCGGAUCGUAAAGCUCUGUUGUUAGGGAAGAACAAGUGCGAGAGUAACUGCUCGCACCUUGACGGUACCUAACCAGAAAGCCACGGCUAACUACGUGCCAGCAGCCGCGGUAAUACGUAUGUGGCAAGCGUUGUCCGGAAUUAUUGGGCGUAAGGGCUCGCAGGCGGUUUCUUAAGUCUGAUGUGAAAGCCCCCGGCUC
rnacentral:rRNA from 1 species